rnacentral:tRNA from 1 species
GGGGAUGUGUUGAAACUGGUAGACAAGGAGGUUUCAAAAACCUUUGGGCGCAAGCUCGUGUGGGUUCAACUCCCACCAUCCCCA